UUGGAUUUACAUUUGAGGUUAUGUGCCUGGAAUCUUUCUCAAAGUUAUUUGUGGGGUAAUGUAGCAAUGAAUGAUGCCUUCGCUGGCAAGCUCUACAAGAAUGUUUGGAUGUGCAAACAGAUGCAAAAUGACCUGGACGUAGGCAAUUUGUACAUAAUUUUAGACGUUUCGCCUCAUUGUACUUUUCGCUCACAGGAAGUUUGAGGAAUUUCUCACAUGCAUAGACAAAAUGGCUAUCUUUACAAACAGGACAUUUAUUUUCAAAAACGGCAUUGGUGAAUGUCUUAGGUGUACCAUAACUCUUUUGAGGAUUUGGAUCAUGUUUAUUUUGCACUUUAAAAUCAAUUGACUCUAAGAGGUGGCAACGCUCUGUGAGGAAUGUAGUGAGGUUAAGGAUUGAAGGGCUAUCAAAAUUCUUGGAAUAGAUUUCCCAUUCCCUACGUGUAAGUUGGCCAAAUUUUGAGGUAAGUAGAUAUAUUAAGGGUGUGUCCCAGUUAUCCACAUUUUCACCUAGAUUUUUUAAACAUCGAUAAUGUUUUUGAAAGUUAUCUAAGAAUUUGCGUAACUGGAUAUGGCUAUCUUCUUUGAGGGAUGGCAAGCUAAAAAUUGCUUUCAUAUGAGCAUGAAUUAUGGCCCUCUUAUUCUCAUAGCGCUCUUUGAGUAAAUUCCAUGCAACAGCAUAGUUGCCAUCGGUAGCUGUAAGGGAGCUAAUUAUCUGGGCAGCAUCUCCUUUAAGGGCAGACUGGAGAUAGUAAAAUUUUUGCACCUUGGGUAACGAGGGAUUUUUAUCAAUAAGAGCCUCGAAGGUUUCAUGAAACUGGGUUCAUGAUUCGUAAGAACCAGAAAACUCUGGUAUGGAUAAUGGAGGUAAUUUAGUGGAUAAAAUACUAGCCAUAUUAUUUAUAGGGUUGUUGCUGAGCUCAGGGUGAGUCUCAACGGUUAAACCAGGAUUGUUGCUAGCAUUUUUGAGGUUGGUGGCUUGUAAUAUAAGUUUUGCCUUGGAAAUUAUUGAGAAGUAUUUUUCCUCGAAGUCUGAUCUGACCUCAGUCUGAUCUUGAGCAUCAGGCAGUUUGUGCACUAAACAAAUGUCUUCGAUACCCAAUUGAAUUUGUUCAAAUUCCUGCAAAAGGGAAUCAGCAGCUUUAAACCUGGUCUCAAUUUGGACGAGGUCUGAAGGAGUUAAAAGCUCGAGUUGGGGUAAGGCAUUUAAAAAUGUUUGGAAACGAGUUAGAGAGGCUUUCAUGUGACCUCUUUUGUUAAUGAGGAAUUUUAUUUCUGCCUUAGCUUUAUCUAAAAUUUGUUCUGCACUAAGAUUUUCCGUCAUUUUGAUGGUAACUGAGAAAACAAUAAAAAGUUUUGCACUUAUUUACUUAUGCCAAAAAGGAAAAAUUAAAGGUUACAAAUCUUAAAACAACAAUAUAAAAAUUAAUGGGUUAAACAACCAAGGCUAAACCAAAUUUUACAAAACCUGAAAGAGAUUAAAAAACACACCAAAUAAAAUUUAAAUUAAAUUAUUAAAUUUUAUCAUCAAUAGUUUAGUAGGCUGGAUACAAAUAUUUUGUUUUUAAGGCUAUAUAUGCAAAAAUCUAUUUAAAAUGCAUAACUCAAUUCUUAGAAGGGUGAAUAUGAGAAUUUUAAUCUUAAAAACAUAUAAGUUUAAAUCAAAAAAAAUAAGGUUUAGAGCUAAAAAUGUAGUUUAUAAUAUGUCAGAUAGGUUUUUAGGGUUGAAAGAUUUAGUUUAUUAAGGGUUAUAUAAACUCUACAUUAAAUUAUGGUUGCAUUUAUUGAACUAGGUUAAAAUAUAAAUAUAGGUUUCAAGUAAAAAUCCACAAAACAGCUUAAUUACUGUAGGUUACGAAGGUUAAAAUGUAAAUAGAAAAUAAAAACCAAACUAUAUAGGUGUAAUUAAAACCAACUUGCACAAAUCUUAGCUUAAUUUGAACAAAACAGCUUAUCAAAAACGUUAAGGUAACGUUUUGGAAGUCAGGAUGACCCUAGGUUUACUGCUGGCUUUAAUUACUUGGGUUAUAAUUGACUAACCUUUAAUUAUUGACUUGUUUUCCUGCUACUAGGAACACUGAUUGCUGGAACAUCGACGAAAAUACACUAAAUAUGGGUCGCACUACCAUAUUUUCCACAUCAGGCACGAAGGAUCAAAAUUUUAUGUUAGGUUCCACCCUAUUUGAUUAGGGAUUACGUCGGGUGUUCGACUUGUAGACAGAAAAAGAAAGUCGUGUAAUUGGUUACGAGAAAUUAAUUUAUUCUCCUAAACUUUAACUGGUUAAUCGCGGCAAUCUCUGAUUUUACACUUUACUUUAUAUACAACUAUUUAUAUUUUAUGGAUUUUUAUAAAAGAGCGCGGAGCCCGGUACAUAUCUAAUAUGCAACCACCUGAUCUAACAUAUCGCAAAGACAACUCUCCAACGA